rnacentral:rRNA from 1 species
AUUGAACGCUGGCGGCAGGCCUAACACAUGCAAGUCGAGCGGAUGAAGGGAGCUUGCUCCUGGAUUCAGCGGCGGAAGGGUGAGUAAUGCCUAGGAAUCUGCCUGGUAGUGGGGGAUAACGUCCGGAAACGGGCGCUAAUACCGCAUACGUCCUGAGGGAGAAAGUGGGGGAUCUUCGGACCUCACGCUAUCAGAGGAGCCUAGGUCGGAUUAGCUAGUUGGUGGGGUAAAGGCCUACCAAGGCGACGAUCCGUAACUGGUCUGAGAGGAUGAUCAGUCACACUGGAACUGAGACACGGUCCUGACUCCUACGGGAGGCAGCAGUGGGGAAUAUUGGACAAUGGGCGAAAGCCUUAUCCAGCCAUGCCGCGUGUGUGAAGAAGGUCUUCGGAUUGUAAAGCACUUUAAGUUGGUAGGAAGGGCAGUAAGUUAAUACCUUGCUGUUUUGACGUUACCAACAGAAUAAGCACCGGCUAACUUCGUG